GGUCUAAGUGGGGGGAGUUCUUGGCCUGUUUUUGGGAUCAUUAUAGAGUUUUCUAAACUCGGAACCCAUGUGAACUUACCUUAAGGGUGCCUCGGCCGAAGUUAUGGGUCUUCUUAUAGCUGCUGCCGGUGGACCAUUAAACUCUUGUUAUUUUAUGUAAUCUGAGCGUCUUAUUUUAAUAAGUAAAAACUUUCAACAACGGAUCUCUUGGUUCUGGCAUCGAUGAAGAACGCAGCGAAGUGCGAUAAGUAAUGUGAAUUGCAGAAUUCAGUGAAUCAUCGAAUCUUUGAACGCACAUUGCGCCCAUUAGUAUUCUAGUGGGCAUGCCUGUUCGAGCGUCAUUUCAACCCUUAAGCCUAGCUUAGUGUUGGGAAUCUACUUCUCUUAGGAGUUGUAGUUCCUGAAAUACAACGGCGGAUUUGUAGUAUCCUCUGAGCGUAGUAAUUUUUUUCUCGCUUUUGUUAGGUGCUAUAACUCCCAGCCGCUAAACCCCCAAUUUUUUGUGGUUGACCUCGAAUCAGGUAGGAAUACCCGCUGAACUUAAGCAUAUCAAUAAGCGGA
rnacentral:rRNA from 1 species